GCCCUAGUAGUGUAGUUGGUCAUCAUGCGGCCCUGUCGAGGCCGCGACCCGGGUUCGAAUCCCGGUUCGGGCG
rnacentral:tRNA from 1 species